UCGGGAAAGAUGGGGGUUGCCUUUGUUAAGUUUUAUGUGACUGUUCUGUGGCCCUGCUAGCUUAUAUUAGGGUUUUUUGGGGCAGUUGAAUACUCCAAGUCUGAAGAGCGUCCGACUGUGUCCAAGUGUCUGGACUUACUGAACUGUACUAAACAUUAAUCAUAUUAACCAUUCAUACUCAUAACUUAUUUACAUUUGUUUAACCUCCUACUGUGUGACCCACACUCCAGAUUUUACCGCCCAUAAUAUACCGUUGGUGUGCGAGUUUUGCGUGUGUAAUAC